UUAAAAUACAAAAUUAAAAUACCAAAUAAACCCAUUCUGUCAGCCACUGCUCCAACCCCCAACCUCAUCCUUCUCCUUCCUCCUUUAACUUUCACUUCGAUUCGUUAUCCUGAGUCUGUGCCUCGCAAUGCCGCGUCUGGAGAAAUCAAUGAAGCCGUCGCACGAAUGAGGCGGCGCCUCCAGGGAUUCGGACGAGCCCUCUGACAAUCUCUGGGUUGGGAAUCUAGUACCGGACGUAACCGAUGCCGAUCUGAUGACCUGUUCACGCAAUCCGGCGCCAUGGACAGUGUUACCUCUUACUCGGCGCGUAGCUACGCGUUCGUGUACUUCAACAAGGCUGCGAAGAAUGCUCUCCAAGGGUUCUCCCUGCACGGUAUAAAAUUAGGACAUGGAUUUGUUGUUGGAGAUGAAGGGUACAUGCAGGACAGUGACAUUCAGAAAGUUAAGCUUUCAAGGGGGCAUUGACACAGCUCUCCAAGUUAGUUGAGUGCAGAGUUAGUACAGGUCUCGAUACGAUCUUAAUACUAUUCUAUUCCUUUUGGAAUUGGGGCUGCUGCCAGGUUAGAUUAAACACUAUCUACCAUAAAUCUUCUGUUUGCAUAUCUAGAGGCUGUGGAUGGCAGCACCUUGGGCCUUUCAUAAAUCUAGGAGCAUUCUAUCUAUGUGGGAUUUCACUUGCUACAACAUUGGCAUUUUGGGUCAAAUUAAGAGGUAGAAAACUUUGGAUUGGGAGCCUUGGAGCAAUGAUUUAAGUUUCUCCAAGUCAUUUCUAGAUCACAGGCUCAAGCUGUGUAAUUAGUCACUACCACUUGCCUUGAGUUAUGUGUUUCUUGGUUCACCGUCGCCACUCAUUACUGCACUCACCAAUGUCGAAGAAACUGUGUGCUCUCUUCCGACCGCUUCUCUGCUCUGCUGUGAAGCAUCAAGGUUUCCGAUGAGUCAAAGCAUCGAUCCCUAACAAGCGAGCAGCCCCACUGGGAAUGAAUAAGGGAAUGAACACUGAUACAAUUGUUAAGGUCAAGAGUUUUCUUGAUGGUGAUGAAGAUUAGCAUGAAAAAGAUGUGUUUGAGAAGAAUCUAAAGGCGCUUCAGAACAUUUUUUAGUCAUUAUGCCAAGAUUAGAAGAUUAACGAUUUUCUGUUUGUUAAGCUCUUUUCGGAUAUAGAGUGCAAUCUUUGCAUUUUAAUUGAUAUGUGAUACAAGU